GAUGAACGCUGGCGGCGUGCCUAAUACAUGCAAGUCGAGCGAACGGACGAGAAGCUUGCUUCUCUGAUGUUAGCGGCGGACGGGUGAGUAACACGUGGAUAACCUACCUAUAAGACUGGGAUAACUUCAGGAAACCGGAGCUAAUACCGGAUGAUAUUUUGAACCGCAUGGUUCAAAAGUGAAAGACGGUCUUGCUGUCACUUAUAGAUGGAUCCGCGCUGCAUUAGCUAGUUGGUAAGGUAACGGCUUGCCAAGGCAACGAUGCAUAGCCGACCUGAGAGGGUGAUCGGCCACACUGGAACUGAGACACGGUCCAGACUCCUACGGGAGGCAGCAGUAGGGAAUCUUCCGCAAUGGGCGAAAGCCUGACGGAGCAACGCCGCGUGAGUGAUGAAGGUCUUCGGAUCGUAAAACUCUGUUAUUAGGGAAGAACAUAUGUGUAAGUAACUGUGCACAUCUUGACGGUACCUAAUCAGAAAGCCACGGCUAACUACGUG
rnacentral:rRNA from 1 species